rnacentral:lncRNA from 1 species
UCUCAAAUUCUCAUCCCAUAUCUGAAAUUUCUCUCAUCUUAACGCCAAAUAUUCACCAAGUUUUCAAAAAGAUCCUAUAAAUUAUAUCAAUUUCUCUAUUGUUUUUCAAAGUUGCAGCAGAUGAUUUUCAAAAUCAGCCAUUGCUGAUCCAAGCUAGGGUAAAUUUCAGAUUCCUGAUCAUGGUUUUAGUUUAUUUGAGUCUUUAAUUCGAGUUUAACUUAAGUUUAAAUGGAUUUAUCAUAUAUCCGCUAAUUUUGUUCGAAAUGACCUUGAAAAUUGCAAAUCUCGUAUCUCUUUACUAAAUCUCUAAUUUAAAGUAUUUUUCAACUAAAUUUUACUAGAUUAAGAGGGUUUAUUCUUAAAUCAAUAGAUCAUGAAGGAUUUUUAAGAAAUCUAAUAACAAAGUUGAGUUUAAAGCUUGUUAAUGGAGGAUUUUUUUCGGAAAAGUGCAACUUCGAAUUUCUUAAGUCUAAAUUAGUUUAGAUCGAUUCUUUAAAGUAUAAUUAAGUGUUUAGAAUAAUUAUUGAAUGGUUAGAAUAGAUCCAGAUUGAGAAAUCUAAAUUUUGGUUAGUUUCGGCUAAGUUUUUUAUUUGAAAAAUAGAGACUGUAGUAUGUGGUUUUGUUUGAAUUUUUGGUGCUUUCAGAUGUGCUUUAACAUAUAUGUAUGUUAUAUGUGGUGUGGUUGAAUUGUCAGAUCCAUUGGUGCAUUCAUCAAGCAAGUCAAGAGGCAAGGAGAAAUUGAUUAGAAGCGUCAAUGUGAGUGUUCUGGUGUUUGGCUUCUAGUAAGUGUGAUUUCAGAUGUUAAUCAAAGGCUUAGGAGGUCUUAAAUGAGAUUAAAGGCUUUGGUGUAAGUUUUUUUUACCUUUUCUUGUGUUGAGUAAAGUAUGCCUAUGUGAUGCUUUGUUGAUGAUGUGUAAGUGUGUAAACUUGUAAGUAAAUGUGAUUUAAUAUAUGUAUAUGUGAUGUGAGUUGCCAUUUUUAUGCACAUGUAUGCAAGUCUAAGUGUGUGAGGAUUUAUGAGCAUUGUGAAAGUGUUGUAAACACCUAUAUGUGUGAGCAUGCAAAGUGAAUGUGUAAAGUAUUUGUGAAAAUUUGAAAUGGUUGUAUAAUGGGCAUAAAACAAUAAUAAACCAUGUGUUAUUAUGGUGUAUUGGUUUUUUGAUCACUUGGAACUAUUGGAUACAUUUUACAUGUCAUAGGAUUGUGAGUACGCACCACUAUCUGUUAUUCACUGGGACACCGUGGUGUGUUUGGAGAGUGUUAGCCAUGAGCUACACUUAUGGAAUAGUGUAUGGCUAUUGAGUCUUUGGUGUGUUUGGAGAUCCGAGUAUCCAAUGUUCAUGUAAGCAUAUAUGUGUUGCAUGGUUCUUAAAUGCCAAUAUAUCUUUUGAUGAUGCUACUUGAGAUUCGUAGGUUGUUAUACGUUGUGGUUAAGUAUGUAUGUGUGGUAUUUGAAAUCUAAAAGCAUGUUCUCUACUUUGAAAACAUGAUUGAGUAGUUAAGUUUUAGCAUGCCUUGCUUAACUUUGGAUAAUUAUAUUUACUUAGUAGUAACCUUAACAUUCACUGAGCUAUGUUUAGCUCACACUCUUCAUUUUAAAUUAGCUACAAGUCAAAUACCAAGGGAAGUGAGCUAAGUGCACUAAGGGAAUCUACCAUCUCGGGUAGGUGAAACUUCUGUUAGUUCGUAAAGGCAAUGUGAUAUGGACUUUUGGGAUUAGACAUUUUAUGUUGUUUAUGGACUGUUUGUUUACUCGCUGAAGAUUUAUAUUGAUGAUAUAUGGCUGAUUAAUUUUGAUGCAUGUUGGAGGUAUGUUUUAUGUUUAGAAAGUUAGUAGAGUAGCUAAAACAUGGUAAAAUUAGCAUGUUGGUAUUCUGAUACUUGAGGCAUAUUUCAAGAGGUGAUUUGGUAUAUUUUGACUAUUUAGGUACCUUUGAAAUGGAUGAAUAAAAAAUUUAUCUUGUUGAGUUUG